rnacentral:lncRNA from 1 species
CACUGCCAUGGAUGCCGGCGCCAGCUCUAUUCCCCAACAAAUUAACACGAAUCAAUCUCCUCCACUCCUUCGUUAUGAAUAUGCAAGCAUCUCCCGUCGAACGAUCCCAGAACACCUCGAAUCUUGAUUCAUAGCCAAGAACCCUAGUGCCACUAAACUUUCCCCAGUGGUGGUUUCACCUGCAAACCCUUUAAAAUUAACAUCACACAACCCCCAUGACCCCAUCACGCCUAAUCUGCUGUUUCCUAAAAGACUAAAUCAUUCACAAUCGAGCUCAAUAGCCCACAUGAAUAUGUCGCUAUUUUUCUUUUAAUUUGAAGUUCUGGUUAGGUGAGAACUGAUGUCAUUCAUAAGGACAAAUGUCCAAAAUUAGUUCUUGUUAAAUCAAGAUCUCUAGUGCUGUUUAUUUUUGAGUUGGUAAGUUCCUUUUCCUCUCUUGUAUUCUCUUUCCCUGUUUCAUUUUUAUUCUUCCUCAUACCUUUUCUUUUGGCUCUUCGGAAUUUUUGGGGAUUUUCUAAGUCCAUAUCUUGUUGUUUCUCCCUCUUAUGUUAUUUUUGCUUUAAAAGCCUGAUUACCUGAUUUUUGCAAUCCGUCCUGUUUCGUCUGUCAAAGUUUUGUAUUAAUAGCUUAGUAGAAUUACUUGGUUAAAUUAGGCCCAUGAUUUAGUUAAAUUGAUGUUAUAAAUUUUGAUGUGCUAGUUCAAUGAUUUUGCUUUGUUUCGAAUGUCUUCAAUAAAUGUUUCCAUGAGUCUUUUGUUGGAAAUGUUGGUCCAGCUUUGAUCCAGGGCUCUUAAUAUAUUAUUUAUUUUCUAUAUGUCAGAAGGGCCAGUAUAGGAUUCAGUUGGGUCUAUAUGGACCCAUUGGUUUGAGUCAUUUGGCCCAGCUCUCUGAUUGGAAAAAAUAGAAGUAAAAACAGGGUAUUUGGAGGACAUUUUAGGAAUUAGGUAUAGGGAAUAAUUUUUGUUAUAUAGGAUGCUUCUAGAGGAUACGUUUGGGGUCACCUGUGAAGAGAAAUGGGAGGUUUUUAGAUAUUAUUUGGGGGAGGGAAAGGGAUAUUUUCAGCAAUUAAAACUUUAAUCUCGGUUUGAAUUGAAUAAAAAGAAAAUUCAAAAGGGCCAAGGAUAAAAUAACAAAGUCUGAAGGCUGCACUAUGGUUGGUCCUAUAUAAGCUACCAUUUUUGCCAUUCAAGGAAUGCUUUUUAGAGAGUUGAAAACUCCAAAAUACAUACGACUAAGAAUAAAAUAAUUACUGUUCCAUUGAAAAGAAAUCUUUGGAAAAUCCAGUGGUAUUCACUCUGAGAUAAUUUCUGAUGAGAUGAAGGUUAAAAUGAGUUGAGUUAGCUGGUGCUCAAGGUUUUUCUGUUCAUUUAUGGUUUGGUUUAAUUAUUGGGGCUUUGUUGAACACUAUUGAGACUUUUAUGCGAUCAAAUUUUGUUCAAAAACUGGUUCUCUUUGAUUAUUUCUGGGCUGAUUUGUUGUUGAUGUUGUCUUUGAUCUUCACAUCUUCUUCAUUUUUCUUUGCAAAUUCCAGGUAUUAUUCACUCCCCAUGGAUGUCACUAGAUGUACAACUUGGAGAAUAGAUUUGAGUGAAGUGAAUUUUGAUGCCUUGUUGUAUGAAUAAGCUUUUCUUUCUUGUAGUCGUGUGUACAUUUUGGUAGUUAGUAAAUGAGAAUGCCAAAUGAUUUAAGUAUCUUGUGUUACUAGUGAUAUUAAGUUUAAAUUAUAGGCUCAUAUGUAUGUUUUUUUUGGUUUCACUAGUAAAUCUGGUUCUGUGCUAAUGAGCACAGUUUAUUUUAGUUAGUAUGAAUUAAUUGUUGGCUUAAGAAGGAAACCAUUCACUCUGAAAUAUCAGCUUUUUGUAUGCUGGCUAUAACAGAAAAUUUAGUUGUUGAGAGGCAUGAUUUGAGUGUAGGCUCGUUGGAUUUAUGGUGAUAAAUUGUUUAAUUGACUCGUAUAUGUUUAGAUUUGUUUUUAGUCAAAAUUUGAAGUUAAGUGUAUGCUUUGUAGGACCCAUUCCCGAUUCAUUUUUUUUAUUCUGAAAGUGUCAACAUGCACAUAAAAGAUUAGAGCAUGUGAGUUAAAGUGUUUCUUUUGAUAAACAUGUAUGUGAACUCAAGCAAUUAUGGAUAUAUGUCUAAAUGCUCUAUAUGUUAAAUUUGGCUCCAACUGAUGAUUGCAUAAGUUUUUUAUAUUAUAAAAUCAGUGCUUGAAAUAAAAUUGGACAUUGAUAUCAAGGCGUAGUGAAAAAAUUUUCCAUUUGGAUAAUUGUUAAGAACGUCCCUUUGUUUUGCUUUCACUAGGGUUCGGUCCAAGAUCCCUCUGCCAGCACCCCAUGUCGAUAAUGAUUGGGCUCUUUUGGUCCUAAACAGUGAAAUUGUAUUGGAACGAAGAGGUGCCUACUACCUCGAGCAGUUUGUUAGUUCUUUGUUGUUUGUCUCUUAAUAGAAAUUUCAACAGAUUAUUGGUCCUAUCCCCGAGACUUGGUGCCUUUGAAUAUUCAAUUGUUUAAUUUUAAAUAGAAAUAGUCGUAAUCUCUUUAAGUCUCUUAUUAAUUGGUUUCCCGAAAAAACAAAUUUGAGGUGAGCCAUGUUGCAUAAUAAAAACAAGUUUAUAGCUGUCUAACACGUAGCUCGAACUUUCUCUGAGAGUUAGAAUUGAGGUGAGC